GACGAACGCUGGCGGCGUGCUUAACACAUGCAAGUCGAGCGGUAAGGCCCUUUCGGGGGUACACGAGCGGCGAACGGGUGAGUAACACGUGGGUGACCUGCCCUCAGCUCUGGGAUAAGCCUGGGAAACCGGGUCUAAUACCGGAUAUGACUCCAUGACGCAUGUUGUGGGGUGGAAAGCCUUGUGCGGCUGAGGAUGGGCCCGCGGCCUAUCAGCUUGUUGGUGGGGUGAUGGCCUACCAAGGCGACGACGGGUAGCCGGCCUGAGAGGGCGACCGGCCACACUGGGACUGAGACACGGCCCAGACUCCUACGGGAGGCAGCAGUGGGGAAUCUUGCGCAAUGGGC
rnacentral:rRNA from 1 species